GGGAAGAUGUUGACCCAAAAAAAGUGGACAGACCCAUCAUGAUUGAUUCUGGGCGGCAAAACCAUCAGAAAGUCAAUGCUCCAAUUCCACAUCUAAAACUAUAUUAGGUUAACUCUCAAUUUGGUUUCAGCAGUGGAAAGAAAGUACCCUCCUGAUUGUUAUAAAAUAGUUUCGAUUCCGGGGUUCCUAUUCUAGAUUUCUCGUAGCUAAGAUUUCCCGGUUUCUGUUCUGGAUUCCUCAUAGUUUAGAUUCCCAAGGUUCUGUUCUAUAGGACUGGGGACUCAGGAACCUGACAGAGCUCAUAGAAGCAAGUAGAGGUCGUUGUUUGGCUCUGACCCGCCCGACAGCGGCCCUGAACCUUUACAAAAAAGAUCAGCGUUACUGAGGAUCCAAGACCCAACAGAAAGCUCAGAAAUUGUUGAAAGGGCCUGGAGAUUCUCUGCAGCUGAGAAAAAAAAGAGGACCAAGGAGCAAGUCAGGAAAGAAAAAUCUCCCAAGAUCCUUGGCCGACGUUGGCCCAGAUAUCUACUGCUUCAAGAGUUAUGAAGAAGACAACGACAAUGAAUGCAGCUACUGUGGUGACGUAACCCCAUCUGGUCGAUUGCUGUCUCAGAGAGAUAAGAAGGAAACUACACAGAAGAUUCUUCAUGAAUGCUAAAUGGGGAAAAAACGAGAGCGAAGACGAAAAACCCUUCAUACUCUGGUUGCUGCCAAGACAAGCACGGUUCUCCUAGAAGAAGCUCAACUCAUUGAAGAUUUACCUCAUUUAUAAAUCCGCACUCCUCCAUGAUUAGCAGGCUUUGAUUUUUCUAGAAAAAGAAAUUUCCAGGCAGCUUCUGACGUCAGACCUCCUAAAUCAGCGGGCAUCUGGUUAAGUAUACAUCGCAGGGCAAAUCAUACAGCCGAAUCACAAAUUAAGAUCAAAGCAUGAUUACUAAACACCCAAUGGAU
rnacentral:lncRNA from 1 species